UGAAGUAUUGCCAGUUUACCCUGCAUACCAAGCAUUUAUUCUGAGUGUUAUUUUGAUUGCCUGUUUAUGACCUUCUGCCUGUUUCUCUGUUUAUUUAUACUUUGGAUUACCCCUUGUAUUUGUUUGCCCGGAUAGGACUGCCUAUUGAUAUUGACCUGCCUGCCUGUCUCUGUUUACUCGCUUGCCUUACGUCUUGGAUUUGUUUGCUAGAUUGGUUUGUUUUAAUAAACAUCCGCAAAAUGGAUCCCGCUGUUUCUGCGUCCUCCUUACAGAAUACUUCGCCUACCAUCGAUCCAGCGGAUGUCGCCAAUCUACGAGCUGCUUACGAACAUUGCAAUUGGGAUUUUCCGCACUCACCAUGGAAGAACGUCAGCACAGAUGAAAUCUCAAUCUCUGUUUUUGUGGAAAACCUGGCCACCGCAUCGAUUCCUGUCCUGCUAAAGCACCACGUUACAACAACCUGCCAACAAUGUUCGUGAUGUCAUAAGGCGUUAUAAAAGGCUUUUGAAGCUGACAAAACGUGGAGCAACCAUGACAAAAGCAUUCCGAAAAGAAGGUGUGUCUCGGAAUGCAGUUGCCCAGCUCGCUCCCAUCGCAGAACUGUAUUUUGCUGACAGAGCACAAUUUAACAGCAUCACCUUCACUCCAGGAAAACUAGCGGAGUUUGCACAAAAGUGCAAAGAACACAUUAUAGGAGAUGUUCUAAGAAAGGUCCUAUCAAUGAAAGCGAAAGGUUCACUUUUGCCUUUUUGUCUAAAUAAGUGAUCUGUUAAAAAGCUUCUUAGCUAUGUUCGCUGUUUACUAUAAGUAUGUUUAAAAAGUAGAUAUCAUUAACAGUUAGUAUUAAUAACAUUGUUUGAACUGAAGGGAACAUAUUCUUACAAACCCUUUUUGUCAUUCUAGGCAGACCUUUUUGUUUCCAUGUUUGAUCCUCUCUCUAACCUGUUUUUUCAUGAGUCCACAUGAGUAUUCUCAUAUCUUUUGAUUUAAAAAUGUACACAUCACCAUUUCAUUGGAUGUUAUCCUUUUUGACAAGGUCAUUAAAAGGAGUUGAUUGGACAAACAAA